CUCCAAGCAAUGGGCAACAAAAAGACUUUCCGAUCAUAUUACAAUCUUUCUGAGCCACCAGGGUUUACGGAAACGGCCCUGCAGAUUUUUUCAUGCUGAGCCCCAGAUUUCUUCAGAAGAUGAAAUAGAUCAUCUGCCUUAAGGUUCUGGACCAGUGUAUGCAACACAAUAAACGUUCAGGAAAUGGUUGCUAUGAUGAUGACGACGAUGAUUAUGACAACAAUGAUGAUGAUGAAAUGAGUUGGCUUCAGCCCAGAGCAGAAUAUGUUCCCUAAUAAAGUAUGAGGAUGUCAGCACAUGCCAUUUGUGUCCCACCCAAAGCUGCAAACUUACUUAAAGUUUAUCUGUAGCUUCAGGGGACAAUUUCCAUAAUGACUGAUGGCAUUUUACCCUGGGUUUGUGAAAUAUUACCAUACUUAUAACAGUCAGAGGUAUUGAAAAGGUAUGCCUGGAAAACAUUGUUCCUCAUCAUUCCUUCUACCAAAUAUUUAUUCUAUUCUCAUCAUUUCCUGUAGGUGUGGAUCUUCAGGAGGUUGCCUCUCCCUGGCUGCAGAAUUAUCAUUUUUAGAGAAGCAGUGUGAUAAUCGUGGAACCAUCCCCUACAUUCCUUCACCCAGGAAGGAAGCAAUAUGAGCUGUGUGCACUGUACACUAUAGCAAUGGAGAAUCUGAUUUGACAAGCCAAAGAUCCUACAUUGGUUGCACACAUCAUGGAUAGCCUACGAACUUCCCUUUAAAGAAAGCUACGUAGAAGCAGGAUGAGUAAAAAUUUACAAACUGAAACAGGAACAUUUUCAAGGUGGAGCACAGUGGCGUGAUCUCAGCACACUGGAACCUCCGCCUCCCAGGUUCAAGCAAUUCUCCUGCGUCAUCCUCUCGAGUAGCUGGGACUACAGAUGUGCACCACCACACCUGGCUAAUUUUUUUGUAUUUCUAGUAGAGACAGGGUUUCACCAUGUUGGCCAGGCUGGUCUCAAACUCCUGACCUCGUGAUCCACCUGCCUCUGUCUCCUAAAGUGCUGGGAUUACAGGCAUGAGCCACCAUGCCUCGCCAAUUGAGAGCUAAUGGUUUUAAAGUGUGGCACUUCCCCAUGCACUCUCUCUCUCCUGCUGCCUUAUGAAAAACGUGUUUGUUUCCCCUUUACCUUCUACCAUGAUUGUUAAGUUUCCUGAGGCCUCCCCAGCCAUGUGAACCGAGUCAAUUAAACCUCUUUCCUUUACAAACUACCCAGUCUCAGGUAGUAUCUUUAUAGCAGUGUGAAAACAAACUAAUACACCAAAUAAGACUGAAGAAACUUAUGCUCAUCUCCAAACACUAUCUGCCAUGCUAUAAGCCAUUAGAACUCAUCUGUUUUACAAUCAGGUUUAAAGAAAGUAAGCUCAUGUCAAGGGCAGGGAUGAUUUCCAACAGAAUUGUGUUGCCCUCUCAUUAAUUCAAUGGCUAUAUUAAUUUUGAAAAUAAUGUAAUUAGCAAAUAGUGGCAGAAACAAUACACAUUUUCCCUCUCCUUUAUUUAAAAUGCAUGAUCAUGAUCUGUCAUUUAAUGAAUUCUAAAGAUAACAAAAUAUUAAAUUAUCUUCACCCUGCAAUAGAGGAUCAUGAAGCACAAAAAUGUAGAAAAGUAUGUUUUCCUGAGCUGAUGAUCUCCCAGUAGCAUGAG
rnacentral:lncRNA from 1 species